GGGUGCGAUCACAUCUAGCGCUAAAGCAUCGGAUCCAUUCCGAACUCCGAAGUUAAGCGUGCUAGAGCGGGACUAGUACUAGGGUGGGUGACCUCCUGGGAAGACCACGUUGUGCACCCU